UUUGUUUAUACUUAGUGCAGCAAUAUUGGUUUGUCUAUUGGGAUCUCAUUUUUAAUUUGUGAAAAGUCACGAAGAUGGUUCUUGUUGUAAAUCUGGAAGGAAAAGUUGGAUGGGUGGAGAGGGAUGACAAUAUGUGGUGGGUUGAGCACAAAAUAUUGGUUCAGAAUUGAAAGGAAAGGAAACAUGAAGGCAUAUAAAGAUAGAGAAUGCCAUAUAUGAUCAAGUGCACAUCUUGGUGCUUCUGAUCUUGUUACGGUGUAAAAGAGCAUGGGAAAUUAUGAUUUGACAUUUUCAAAUUUUUGGUGUAAAAUUGACAUGAAGCAAAAUCUGUUGGGAUUGGGAAGAAUCCUCUCAAGGGAAUGAAAGAUCUGUAGCUUGACAGAAAUCUAAAGACAAAAAGAAGAAGGGCCAUUGAUCAGGUAUAUUUUGUCUAGUGAUUUCUAUACUACACAAAACAGGUUUGGGGACACCCACUAAUUUUUUUUAAGAUUUUUUUUUUUUUACUGAAUGUCCUUGUAUCGCUGGGAGGUAAAACUCAAAUUGUCCCUGUUUGUUGUUCUUAGAUUUGCUUUUGUGCCUAUAUGAAUGUAUAUACUUUAUGAAACCAUCUUUAAUUUUGGAUAAAUUAAUUGGCUACUACUGCAGUAUACAUUGUUUUCCAAGGAAGUUAUGAUAUUUGAUCAUUUGCAUAAUAGGUGUCAUUCUCAUAGCAUGUGACCUUCGUGUCACUUGAAUCAAAUAGAUGAUAUCAAGAAUUAGACUCUUGCUUGCACUUGGAUAUUGAUACUUUCAGUUUAUUCCUUACUCUAUUUGCCAACAAUCUGCAGAUCUCUACUUAAUGACUUACAAUGCAUGCUUCCUUUUCACCUUCUCACUCUGUUCUUACACAAAUAUUCAGUAAUACGGCUACUUCAUAAUUUUCAGAUUUCUUGUAUUUCUUAAUGUCCGUCCCCAAUUUUGUGUGUCAUGCUUAUGGAACUUUUACUUGUAACUUCUUUUUUUCAUUUUUUUCCCCUGAAAUUUUGCUGCCCUCUCUAAA